rnacentral:rRNA from 1 species
GUGCAGUUGAGGCAGGCGGAAUUCGUGUAGUAGUGGUGAAAUGCUUAGAUAUCACGAAGAUCUCCGAUUGCGAAGGCAGCAUGCUAAGCUGCAUCUGACACUGAGGCUCGAAAGUGUGGGUAUCAAGCAGGAUUAGAUACUCUGGUAGUCCACACGGUAAACGAUGAAUACUCGCUGUCUGCGAUAUACUGCAAGCGUCCAAGUGAAAGCGUUAAGUAUUCCACCUGGGGAGUACGCCGGCAACGGUGAAACUCAAAGGAAUUGACGGGGGCCCGCACAAGCGGAGGAACAUGUGGUUUAAUUCGAUGAUACGCGAGGAACCUUACCCGGGCUUAAAUUGCAGAUGAAUUACGGUGAAAGCUGUAAGCCGCAAGGCAUCUGUGAAGGUGCUGCAUGGUUGUCGUCAGCUACGUGCCGUGAGGUGUCGGGUUAAGUGCCAUAACGAGCGCAACCCUUGUUUUCAGUUACUAACAGGUUCCGAUGAGGACUCUGACAAGACUGCCAUAGUAAGAUGUGAGGAAGGUGGGGAUGCCGUCAAAUCAGCAUGGUCUUCACGUCCGGGUCUAUACACGUGUUACAAUGGGGGGUACAGAGGGCCGCUACCACGCGAGUGGAUGCCAAUCCCCAAAACCUCUUUCAGUUUGGUCUGGAGUCUGCAGCCAGAUUCCACGAAGCGGGAUUCUCUAGUAAUCGCGCAUCAUCCACGGCGCGUUGAAUACGUUGGCCGGGCGUUGUUCACACCUCCCGUCAAGCCAUUGGAUCCGGGGGUACCUGAAGUGUGUAACCGCGAGGAGCGCCC